GUGAGGAAUAUUGCGCAAUGGGCGAAAGCCUGACGCAGCGACGCCGCGUGGAGGAUGAAGGUCUUCGGAUUGUAAACUCCUGUCUAGUGGGACGAAUGUCGCGAGGGCAAACAACCCUCGCGGUUGACGGUACCGCUGGAGGAAGCCCCGGCUAACUCCGUGCCAGCAGCCGCGGUAAUACGGAGGGGGCCAGCGUUGUUCGGAAUCAUUGGGCGUAAAGGGCGCGUAGGCGGCUACUCAAGUCGGACGUGAAAUCCCCCGGCUCAACCGGGGAACUGCGUCCGAUACUGUGUGGCUCGAGUCCCGGAGAGGGUAGUGGAAUUCCCAGUGUAGCGGUGAAAUGCGUAGAUACUGGGAGGAACACCGGUGGCGAAGGCGGCUACCUGGACGGGUACUGACGCUGAGGCGCGAAAGCCAGGGGAGCAAACAGGAUUAGAAACCCGAGUAGUCC
rnacentral:rRNA from 1 species